GAAAUGCGAUAAGUAAUGUGAAUUGCAGAAUUCAGUGAAUCAUCGAAUCUUUGAACGCACCUUGCGCUCCUUGGUAUUCCUUGGAGCAUGCCUGUUUGAGUAUCAUGAAAUCUUCAAAGUAAAUCUUUUGUUAACUCAAUUGGUUUCUACUUUGGUAUUGGAGGUCUUUGCAGCUUCACACCUGCUCCUCUUUGUUCAUUAGCUGGAUCUCAGUGUUAUGCUUGGUUCCACUCGGCGUGAUAAGUUAUCUAUCGCUGAGGACACUGUAAAAGGUGGCCAAGGUAAAUGCAGAUGAACCGCUUCUAAUAGUCCAUUGACUUGGACAAUACUUUUAUGAUCUGAUCUCAAAUCAGGUAGGACUACCCGCUGAAAUUAAGC
rnacentral:misc_RNA from 1 species